rnacentral:rRNA from 1 species
CUGUCUCAAAGAUUAGCCAUGCAUGUCUCAGUACAAGCCAAAUUAAGGUGAAACCGCGAAAGGCUCAUUAAAUCAGUUAUGGUUCCUUAGAUCGUACCCACAUUUACUUGGAUAACUGUGGUAAUUCUAGAGCUAAUACAUGCAAACAGAGCUCCGACCGGAGACGGAAGGAGCGCUUUUAUUAGAUCAAAACCAAUCGGUGGCGUUUACGUCAUCGUACAAUUUGGUGACUCUGAAUAACUUUACGCUGAUCGCACGGUCUCGCACCGGCGACGCAUCUUUCAAAUGUCUGCCUUAUCAACUGUCGAUGGUAGGUUCUGCGCCUACCAUGGUUGUAACGGGUAACGGGGAAUCAGGGUUCGAUUCCGGAGAGGGAGCCUGAGAAACGGCUACCACAUCCAAGGAAGGCAGCAGGCGCGCAAAUUACCCACUCCCAGCACGGGGAGGUAGUGACGAAAAAUAACGAUACGGGACUCAUCCGAGGCCCCGUAAUCGGAAUGAGUACACUCUAAACCCUUUAACGAGGAUCAAUUGGAGGGCAAGUCUGGUGCCAGCAGCCGCGGUAAUUCCAGCUCCAAUAGCGUAUAUUAAAGUUGUUGCGGUUAAAAAGCUCGUAGUCGAAUCUGUGUCCCGCGCCGCCGGUUCAUCGUUCGCGGUGUUAACUAGCGUGUCGCGGGACGUCCUGCCGGUGGGCUUAGCUCGCAAGGGCGGCCCAACUCAAUCCCGCCGCGGUGCUCUUCACUGAGUGUCGAGGUGGGCCGGCACGUUUACUUUGAACAAAUUAGAGUGCUUAAAGCAGGCUAAAACUUCGCCUGAAUACUGUGUGCAUGGAAUAAUGGAAUAGGACCUCGGUUCUAUUUUGUUGGUUUUCGGAACCCCGAGGUAAUGAUUAAUAGGAACGGAUGGGGGCAUUCGUAUUGCGACGUUAGAGGUGAAUUCUUGGAUCGUCGCA